GUCAAGGAUUUGUCCAUCUUGAUGGGUUUUGCUGAAAUGGGUGUUCUUUAUAGUUCCAGUCACAGCCCAUGCUCCUUCUGUUUGCUGAAGCGAAAUUUCCUUUGUGCCGAAGUGAUUCUGGAAUAAUGUUUUCAUGGAGAAAAACCAAGUGAGAGAUAAACACAGCUGUCUUCCCCUGAAAAGGUUAUGCACAAUUAUUCCCAAGGACUCUGGGAAGAUUUCUCAUUUCCACGUUUCCUACUUUGAGAUGGGUGAGGAAACCAGACAGAAGCCAUGCAGCACUGGUGUUUGCCAGACAGCUCUCUUCUGUCCCUCUCCUGGCUGCAACUGCACCCCAAGGACGCUGUCUGUGACCUACGACCCUGGAGAGAGUCAUCUGUUCUCUCUCCCUUGGAGAACAAGUCAAAGUUCAGGAAGGAAAAGAGCCAAAACUCCAGAGGUUUAAAGAGCAGUUCUUCCAAACUUAGGAUUCUGGAGGUAAAUGGAUGAGGGACAAGAACGAACUGAAGAGAACUCAUACUGAAAUUCGUUAUGCUCUUGAGAAAUUCUGUUCCCUCUGAAGUCCUUCCUCUUACUCACUGGCUGAUUAACAGAUCGGAAGUUUUGUUUGCACUGCACUUUGAUAAAAACUCUGCUAUGACACAUAUUUUAGAUAAAUUUCACAUGUUUAGAUUUGACUUUUGUAACUGACCUGCUACAAGGGAAGAAUCUGUUUUAUUUAUGUCUAUCACUUCAGCACCCUACUCAGUGUUAUAUAACAAGCCCCGAGCACUUUUUGGGGUGGGGACAAGAUGAAAGGGCGUGAUGAAGAGAGGAG
rnacentral:lncRNA from 1 species